ACACGGGCAAAUCCGGCUGGGGAUGCCGGGGCUCGGAGCGGAGGGGAUGGGGACGGUACCGGUACCGUGGCGGGUCCCCCGGGGCGGGCCCGAGGGGGCUGAGCCCGUACAAACUGCUGCCAGCCGCACACCGGUUUUGUCCAGGCUGGAGUGCCAGCGUGAGGCCAGCGAGGCCAUUCCUACACAGUCCCAAGGAGCAGCCGGGACCGAGAACACACCCUACGCUCGUCAAAACACCCCAUGGGGAGGGGGUUUUGCUUAAAUUCGACCCUCCCAACCCUGGUGCUCGCUGGGAAGCAGAGAAGUCGUCGUGGCACAGGACUCAGCUCAUCCUUCUGCGAGCGUUCCCCGGCACAGCGAUGCAGCCCCUGCUCAGCCAUGGGCACCUCAGGCCAGGCUGACCCAGCACAUGACUAUUUUAUGAUGCAUGAGAAAGAUAGGAUUUCUUUGAUUAAAAAUAAAAUAAAAAUGAUAAAAUAAUCAAACCCCAAACCAAGAAGCUGAUCCACCCCGAGAGGAGGAGGAGGAGGAGGAGGAUGGCUGGCCCCGCUGACCAGCCCAUGGAGCUCGCCUGCAGCACAGCACUGCCCUCCCCCUCCCCAAAAACUACACAUCCCAGUUUAGGUAAACAGCAGAUUAAAUGUAAAAACUUAAA